rnacentral:rRNA from 1 species
UACGGAGGGUGCGAGCGUUAAUCGGAAUUACUGGGUGUAAAGGGCGUGUAGGCGGCACUGUAAGUCAGAUGUGAAAUCUCCCGGCUCAACCGGGAGCGUGCAUCUGAUACUGCAGUACUUGAGUGAUAGAGGGGAAAGCGGAAUUCCUAGUGUAGCGGUAAAAUGCGUAGAUAUUAGGAGGAACACCAGUAGCGAAGGCGACUUUCUGGACACAAACUGACGCUGAGGUACGAAAGCGUGGGGAGCAAACAGG